ACGGGAGGCAGCAGUGAGGAAUAUUGGUCAAUGGACGGAAGUCUGAACCAGCCAAGUAGCGUGAGGGAUGACUGCCCUAUGGGUUGUAAACCUCUUUUGUCGGGGAAUAAAGUGUGCCAUGUAUGGUAUUUUGCAUGUACCCGUCGAAUAAGGAUCGGCUAACUCCGUGCCAGCAGCCGCGGUAAUACGGAGGAUCCGAGCGUUAUCCGGAUUUAUUGGGUUUAAAGGGAGCGUAGGCGGAAGGUCAAGUCAGCUGUGAAAUGUAGUCGCUCAACGUCUGCACUGCAGUUGAAACUGGUGUUCUUGAGUGCGUAAGAGGCAGGUGGAAUUCGUCGUGUAGCGGUGAAAUGCAUAGAUAUGACGAAGAACUCCGAUUGCGAAGGCAGCCUGCUGGGCCGCUACUGACGCUGAAGCUCGAAGGUGCGGGUAUCAAACAGGAUUAGAUACCCUGGUA
rnacentral:rRNA from 1 species